rnacentral:lncRNA from 1 species
CACAGGUGGUCCAGCAGAUGCUCAGAGGGUGAAGCACAUUUAUCAUUGAAUGAACCUACUUAUCUCUGAGGACUUUAUGUCUUUCGGGAGUCACACCUGUCAUGGGGAAGACUGAGAACACCUUUCAAAGAAAACCUAAUUUACUUAAAGAAAAGUGUGUGUGCCCCUUCAACAAUCGUUUUGUGUACCAUUCCAUGGACAGGAUGAUGGAACAGACAAUUUCAAGCCAAGGCACUUUUCUAAGACACCUGUCUGCAGAUAACUGAUCAUGAAAUACAAGUGUCUCCAACGCCCAGGAAGAGGGAUUACGGCUGCAUCCACCGUGAUAGGCUGGGGCAGAGAUGGAUGCUUGCACACCUGUUUUAAAAGAGAUCAACUAAAUUUUGAAGCGGUGACCCUUGAAUGUUUCUAGAAGAUGUCUUCCUCUAAAGUCAUUUGAAAUGCUUCACAGAAGAUAGCAAGAUUUGGAAGAAGAGGCAAAACAUUUCCUGUAAAUACCAUCGCUGGGAUGAAUUCUCACUCUCCUGUCCCUCCAUCAAACAGAAAUCUAUAUUGUGCCUUGAGUUGAGCUCCAGAGAAAUUAUCAAUAUUCACACAUCUGGCACAAAUCUGUUGGAAGAAAAAAAAACCAUCAUGCCAUCUGUAUUUCUUCAAUCGUUUUAUAGCACAGCUCCAGUCUCUGGCCAUCAUUUUGUCACUCGGUCUUGUAAAUAUAAAGUUAUAUUACUUUUUGGCUUGUUUGAGGACACCGUUCAUCAUAAGGGGAGGAUGAAGAGAUGAUGUCACUGCCGGGAAAAAAAAAAACAAAACACAACAACUUCGCCUUUCUCAAUCCCCCACCUUCCCCAGAGUGUGGAGGAGCCAAAUUUCAUCUAGUUUGGCACAGUUGUAGGAAUUAACAUGACUGAAAUGUAUGCCAGAUUUCAAAACAAUUUCUAACAGUUUCUGUGAGACCGUGUAAGCAACUGAAAAUUGACAUGUUGUGUUGUGCCCGAGUCAGCCAACUGCUGUCACUGCAUAAUUAGAUUUUCCUGCAUGAGAGGAAAAAGUGUUCCCUUAAAAAAUUAUGAAAUAAAGCAGAAGCUAAUAUAAAAUACAAGUGGGCCCGUUAUUCACAUAGAGGUAGCCUUCCGCCAAAGAAUGACUUUGGACACACACACACGUGCACGCACACACACUCACACACACACAACUCCAGGAGAGGCUGAUGGCCCUGGAUUUCUGCGCUUUACAUGCAAGAAAUGCUCUUUGCAAAGGGAAGAGGAUUUACGGCACAGGCCAGAUGGAAGUAGGCCCACUUGGCUGCCCAAGGAAUGGCUGAAACCCAGAAGCAAGAACAGAUUUGGAGCUAAUGAAUGUGCGGUUCCUUCCUUCUGAUAUGGAAUAAUAGAUGUGGCAGAGUAUGCCAGGUGCCCCCAAUACUUAUUCUCCCCUUGUCCAACAGUAACAGUAGUUUUUGUUUGGCACAAAGGAGCCCAGCUAAAGGCUAUAUUCCCCAGGCUCCCCUGCACCUCGAUAUAACCAUAUAACUAAGUUCUGGCGAAUGAGGUGUGAGAGGAAGUGGAAGUUUCCAGAUUCCAUGUCGUGUCCUUAACAGGAAAGGAGGGGUUCCCUCCGCUUUCUCCCCUCCCGUCUUCCUGAGGGUGGGAGCGCAGGCAUCUUUGUCCAGGAGGAUGAGAUCUAUACCAUGUGGACAAGAGCUG